rnacentral:misc_RNA from 1 species
GAUGAAGAACGCAGCGAAAUGCGAUAAGUAAUGUGAAUUGCAGAAUUCCGUGAAUCAUCGAAUCUUUGAACGCACAUUGCGCCCGCGAGUAUUCUCGCGGGCAUGCCUGUCCGAGCGUCAUUUCAACCCUCAGGGCCCGCCUGCUUGCAGGCGCGGCGCUGGUGUUGGGGAUCGGCUACCCUGCCGUCCCCCAAAUACAGUGGCGGUCUCGCUGCAGCCUCCCCUGCGUAGUAGCAACACUCGCAUGCGGAGCGCGGCGCGGCCACGCCGUAAAACCCCCGACUUUCUGAACGUUGACCUCGGAUCAGGUAGGAAUACCCGCUGAACUUAAGCAUAUCAAUAAGCGGAGGA